UGCACACCGCUCUGUUCCGUUUUCCUCUUCUUCGAUACGAAAUUUUCCCCACCGCCGCCGCUUAGGUCAUAUCCUACCGCCGCCGGCCACCACGGAGCAUGCCCCAUCCGCUGCUGGACGCCCCAAUCCAGAGCAACCUAGAGGGCUAUCGCGCGUGCGCCGAAUAGUUUGCUCAGAGCCGGCACAAGCUGUUGGCAUCCCCAUGGGAGCGGAGACGAACCUCUCGUCGCCGCAGCUAGAUCCGACCAAGUCGCGGGAGUCGGUGACCCUACUCAACGACGAUCAGAACUGGAUGUUGGCGCUGCGGGAGUCUGUGUCGUUCGGGCGGUUCCUAGCCGAGCCACUCGAGUGGGAUACUACUGGGCAUGUCUCUCGCUGGCAACGAUGGCGCAUGUCCGAUCACCGUCGACAGCUGAGCUUGAUCUGCCAGUACAUGCCGUGGCGUUCAGACUUCAAUCUGUGUCCUCCAGCUGCAGUGUUGCGCACAUUGGAAGUUCUGGACCAGCCCAGAGUUGUAAUCCAUGCUUGCCUGCGGCUCGUUCGUCACUAAGUGCAACACAUAUUGGAAAAGCCGAUCUCUAUAUGAUAAGUUCAUCCUAUAAUCUCAUUAAAUAAUUGAUUUAUUUGUGGGUAUCAAUAUAGAAUUGAAACCAAUAUGUCAUCCUAUUAGGACAGUUAAACUAAAUAAAGCAACAGUAGUUGUCUGUAGUAAGGAAGAUGUAACAUUAGGCAGUAGCAGUCGACGGCUACGUAAAGAGGUGUGGCAGCAGCAACUUCAGUGUUCGUCCGGACAUCUUUUUUUGAGAAUAUAAGAUUUGCUUUUCAAUUGUUCUCCACAAUGUAGCCCUUAAUGAUAGGAAACCUUGCAUGAAAGACUCUGAAUAAGUGUUGAUGUGCAAAAGCAUUAUCACUAGGAAAUAUUUUUGGGAACAUAUAGGCACACAAGAAGGUGCCUCUUUGUUUGGCCAUUUCCUUUUGUGAGUCGUGGGUUACUUCUAGACAAGGCUAGAGUGUCACAACUCUUAGGCAACUGUUCAAUUGUAUGUCAACAAAUGAACGAACUGGAAAAAUCAUGCAGAUACAGCUACAUGUACUAUUAGUUCUAGUAUAAAAUUAUGUGUCUCACAUUUCAGUCGCAGCAGAUGUUAAAGUUAAUUCGUAGUGGAGAUAUGCAUCAGUAUUUUAAUCUUGAAGAUUUAGAAGAAUGAUUACUGCAACAUAGUGAUGUUCUUGUUCAGUCAUUGGUUCUGGCAUCUAAUCCUGAGAUCUAGCAGUGUUAUAAUAUCACCACUUCUUGUCCUAAUAUGUCCAUCUGAAUUGUAUAUACACGUAAUCUUUCUUAUAAAGUGUCAGAAUGUUUCUUACAUACAGUAGUUGAAAACCUCAUGUACAACCUGGCAUAAGUGAGCAUUUAGAGUAAUUGACUAAAAUUCAUGCCAAAUGAGGCUCAAUAAUGCUUGACUAACAGAAAAUCCCAGUAGAACUCUAGGUCAGGCUGGGACCUCCCAGUAUUGGAAAUCUAUGUACUUGUUCUCACUUUGCAGCAGCUGGAAUUAGGAAAGUUUGAUGGAACAAAAUUACUUUAUCACAGUGUAAUAAGCUGACUUGCUGGCCAAAUAAACUGGCCUGCUAAUCAAAAUAGUGUCUUCUUUGACUAUCUACAACUACUAUGGGUAAAAUAAGAUAUAAGCAUUGUUUAGUUUUCUAACAAGAGAACAAUGACAUGGAGGGCGAGUAACAAACCUUUCGUACUCGGCACACUGAACUCAGUACAUGUGCGAUUGUCGGCUGCUACUUUCUUGAUUAACUACAUAGCAAAAGUGGAAAGAAGAAAAAGAGGUGAAUAUAACUCUACUGUUCGUGACUUGUGAGCAUGUCAUGAUCUCUUAGAGUAUGUUUGGUUUCUGUCAUCGGAUGAAUGUAAUGGGUCGGUUCCAUCCCGUGUUUAGUUAGUCGAAGGAAUCGGAAUAUGAAACAGCAUAUUCGCUGAUUAUGCCGAACCGAGGCGUUCCUCGAAAACGAGCGGACCACGCAGAACCACCUCUCUCGCGUGCCUCUCCCCGUCAGCGCCGCGUCCGUCCCGCACCUCUCCCUCUCUCUAUCUGAGCCGCCGCCGCCCAAAACACUUCUCUCGCUCUCCGGCGGCGGCUGUACCUCGCGUCCCAGUCGUCUAUCCUCUCCCAUGGCGUGCAGCAACAGCUUGGAGGCGAUCUAGCAGCAGGCGGCAGGCUAGUAGCCAGCGGAGCAACAUAAACAGAGAGCAGGACGCGGUUGCCUGUUCCUGUCGUCAUCGGUGGCCGCCGCGUCGUCCCAACGGAUUGGCGGGUCUUCUUUUCCCGCGGCUUGUUCCUGUCGUCGCUGCUGUUGGUGCGAAGCAGAGCACAAGCAGGACGACAGUGUCUCGCCGCUAUUGGUGCCUGACACCGCUCGGUUUGAGCGAUUUGCCUGACUUCAGAUUGAUUUCCGGGAGCACCUACCUUGAUACUAGUUGAUACAUUUGAAUUGA